AUUGAACGCUGGCGGCAGGCCUAACACAUGCAAGUCGAACGAGUGGCGGACGGGUGAGUAAUGUCUGGGAAACUGCCCGAUGGAGGGGGAUAACUACUGGAAACGGUCGCUAAUACCGCAUACCAUCGGAUGUGCCCAGAUGGGAUUAGCUAGUAGGUGGGGUAACGGCUCACCUAGGCGACGAUCCCUAGCUGGGCUGAGAGGAUGACCAGCCACACGGGAACUGAGACACGGCCCAGAUUCCUACGGGAGGCAGCAGUGGGGAAUUUUGGACAAUGGGCGCAAGCCUGAUGCAGCCAUGCCGCGUGUAUGAAGAAGGCCUUAGGUUUGUAAAGUACUUUUAGCGGGGAGGCGUUACCCGAAGAAGAAGCAACGGCUAACUACGUGCCAGCAGCCGCGGUAAUAC
rnacentral:rRNA from 1 species